rnacentral:rRNA from 1 species
UUUUUUGGGGGACCUGACUGCUAUCGGAUUGGUACUAAGCCAUUUUAGUCAUUGUAGCAAUACAAGGCGGACGGCUCAGUAACACGUAGUCAACCUAACCCGUGGACGCGGAUAACCUCGGGAAACUGAGAAUAAACCGCGAUAGAUCAUUAUGCCUGGAAUGGCUUAUGGUCCAAACAGUUUACUGCCAUGGGAUGGGACUGCGGCCUAUCAGCUUGUUGGUGAGGUAAUGGCCCACCAAGGCUAUAACAGGUACGGGCUCUGAGAGGAGAAGCCCGGAGAUGGGUACUGAGACACGGACCCAGGCCCUAUGGGGCGCAGCAGGCGAGAAACCUUAGCAAUGUGCGAAAGCACGACUGGGUCAGUCCGAGUGAUUCCUGAUAAAGGAGUCUUUUAUCUGUCCUAAAAGCACAGGUGAAUAAGGGGUGGGCAAGUCUGGUGUCAGCCGCCGCGGUAAUACCAGCACCUCGAGUGGUCAGGACGUUUAUUGGGCCUAAAGCAUCCGUAGCCGGCUCUGCAAGUCUUCGGUUAAAUCCACCUGCUCAACAGAUGGGCUGCUGGAGAUACUACAAAGCUAGGGAGUGGGAGAGGCAGACGGUAUUCAGUGGGUAGGGGUAAAAUCCUCUGAUCCAUCGAGGACCACCAGUGGCGAAGGCGGUCUGCCAGAACACGUUCGACGGUGAGGGAUGAAAGCUGGGGGAGCAAACCGGAUUAGAUACCCGGGUAGUCCCAGCUGUAAACGAUGCAAACUCGGUGAUGCAUUGGCUUAUGGCCAAUGCACCUGCCACAUGUAAACCUUUUAGUUUUGCCGCUUGGGAAUUUAUCGUACCCCCCCUCUGAAACUUUAACGGAAUUGGGCGGUGGAAACACACAGGCCGAAUUCUUGAAAACUUCCCUCCAUACUUGACCGGCCCGCUCCCAGCAUGCCUCUUUUAUG